rnacentral:rRNA from 1 species
AUUGAACGCUAGCGGGAUGCCUUACACAUGCAAGUCGAACGGAGUGGCGAACGGGUGAGUAAUGUAUCGGAACGUGCCCAGUAGCGGGGGAUAACUACGCGAAAGCGUAGCUAAUACCGCAUACUAUUGGAGCGGCCGAUAUCGGAUUAGCUAGUUGGUGGUGUAACGGCCUACCAAGGCGACGAUCCGUAGCUGGUUUGAGAGGACGACCAGACACAAGGGGAAUGAGACAAGGUCCAGAGUCCUACGGGAGGCAGCAGUGGGGAAUUUUGGACAAUGGGGGAAAGCCUGAUCCAGCCAUGCCGCGUGUGCGAUGAAGGCCUUCGGGUUGUAAAGCACGGUUGGCAGGGAGGCGUUACCAGCAGAAUGAGCACCGGCUAACUACGUGCCAGAAGCCGCGGUAAUAC